rnacentral:rRNA from 1 species
UACGAAGGGUGCAAGCGUUACUCGGAAUCACUGGGCUUAAAGCGUGUGUAGGCGGAUCGUUAAGUGUCUUGUGAAAUCCCACGGCUCACCCGUGGAACUGCUGGGCAUACUGGCGAUCUUGGGCCAACUAGGGGCAACUGGAACAAGCGGUGGAGCGGUGAAAUGCGUAGAUAUCGCUUGGAACGCCAAAGGUGAAAACAGGUUGCUGGGGUUGUGCCGACGCUGAGACACGAAAGCCAGGGGAGCAAACGGGG